rnacentral:rRNA from 1 species
UGGGGAAUAUUGGACAAUGGGCGAAAGCCUGAUCCAGCCAUGCCGCGUGUGUGAAGAAGGUCUUCGGAUUGUAAAGCACUUUAAGUUGGGAGGAAGGGCAGUAAGCGAAUACCUUGCUGUUUUGACGUUACCGACAGAAUAAGCACCGGCUAACUCUGUGCCAGCAGCAGCGGUAAUACAGAGGGUGCAAGCGUUAAUCGGAAUUACUGGGCGUAAAGCGCGCGUAGGUGGUUCGUUAAGUUGAAUGUGAAAGCCCCGGGCUCAACCUGGGAACUGCAUCCAAAACUUGCUAGUUAGAGUAGGGCAGAGGGUUAUGGAAGAUCCUGUGUUGCGGUGAAAUGCGUUAAUAUAAGAAGGAACACCAGUUGCGAAGACCACCCCCUGGGCUAAUACUGACACUGAAGUGCGAAAACGUGGGGAGCAAACAGG